rnacentral:rRNA from 1 species
GAGUUUGAUCGUGGCUCAGGAUGAACGCUGGCGGAAUGCUUUACACAUGCAAGUCGAGCGGCAGCGCGGGGCAACCUGGCGGCGAGCGGCGAACGGGUGAGUAAUGCAUCGGAACGUGUCCAUGUCGUGGGGGAUAGCCCGGCGAAAGCCGGAUUAAUACCGCAUACGCCCGAGAGGGGAAAGUGGGGGACCGCAAGGCCUCACGCGAUUGGGUCGGCCGAUGUCCGAUUAGCUAGUUGGCGGGGUAAAGGCCCACCAAGGCGAUGAUCGGUAGCUGGUCUGAGAGGAUGAUCAGCCACACUGGGACUGAGACACGGCCCAGACUCCUACGGGAGGCAGCAGUGGGGAAUUUUGGACAAUGGGGGCAACCCUGAUCCAGCCAUUCCGCGUGAGUGAAGAAGGCC